rnacentral:rRNA from 1 species
AACGAGCGAGAGAGAGCUUGCUUUCUUGAGCGAGUGGCGAACGGGUGAGUAACGCGUGAGGAACCUGCCUCAAAGAGGGGGACAACAGUUGGAAACGACUGCUAAUACCGCAUAAGCCCACAGGUCGGCAUCGACCAGAGGGAAAAGGAGCAAUCCGCUUUGAGAUGGCCUCGCGUCCGAUUAGCUAGUUGGUGAGGUAAUGGCCCACCAAGGCGACGAUCGGUAGCCGGACUGAGAGGUUGAACGGCCACAUUGGGACUGAGACACGACCCAGACUCCUACGGGAGGCAGCAGUGGGGAAUAUUGCACAAUGGGGGAAACCCUGAUGCAGCGACGCUGCGUGGAGGAAGAAGGUCUUCGGAUUGUAAACUCCUGUUGUUGAGGAAGAUAAUGACGGUACUCAACAAGGAAGUGGCGGCUAACUACGUGCCAGCAGCCGCGGUAAAACGUAGGUCACAAGCGUUGUCCGGAAUUACUGGGUGUAAAGGGAGCGCAGGCGGGAAGACAAGUUGGAAGUGAAAUCUAUGGGCUCAACCCAUAAACUGCUUUCAAAACUGUUUUUCUUGAGUAGUGCAGAGGUAGGCGGAAUUCCCGGUGUAGCGGUGGAAUGCGUAGAUAUCGGGAGGAACACCAGUGGCGAAGGCGGCCUACUGGGCACCAACUGACGCUGAGGCUCGAAAGUGUGGGUAGCAAACAGGAUUAGAUACCCUGGUAGUCCACACCGUAAACGAUGAUUACUAGGUGUUGGAGGAUCGACCCCUUCAGUGCCGCAGUUAACACAAUAAGUAAUCCACCUGGGGAGUACGACCGCAAGG